rnacentral:lncRNA from 1 species
ACAUAAUUAAACUAAAAAUAAGAGAUCAAGCAAGUUUCUAAGUCAAAAAGGGUUAAUUUAGUAUCAAAAUUGAAUCACAGAUAACAAUGAAAUCAACCGUUAUCAAAACGUUGACGCGUAUGUGAUAGUUGAUGCAAGCUAGGCGGAUGAUGCUGAUUAGUGAUAGGGAGCUUUGGUGGAGCAGAUAGAAUAUGAUGGGAAAUGAGAGAAUGGCAAUGUGAAUAGAAGGUGGCUAGAGGAGAUCCUUUAAGAUUUUCUAACUUUGACUUUCAAGGUAGAAUUGCUAUGGAGUAAUCUCUACAAAAUGACAAUUCAUUAUUCUCAAAAGUGAUUUUACACAAGGUGCUUAGCAUGCUUAUAGGGAUGAAAGUCCCACCUAUGUCUACCAUAUGUUUAACACAUUUUACACAUGUUUAUUG